AUGAAGAACAGCAAAGGAGCUCUCCUCGCGGCCAUGCUGUUGCUGGUGAUCUCUUCUGCUGCUGCUGGCAGAGAUGCUCCAGCAGCCAUCGCCAAGGAGAACCAUUUGGGCACCACGCUCGAGCAAAACGGCGGCUUCUCUGAAUCGAAGGGGAUCGCCGUCCGUGAACCGAUAUUCCGUCCGCCUAUGAACCCACCCUGUGCGUCCAAGGUCGCACGCACAAGCGGGGGCGCCAAGGAAGAGAGACUUUGUUAA
rnacentral:rRNA from 1 species